rnacentral:rRNA from 1 species
AACGAACGCUGGCGGUAUGCCUAACACAUGCAAGUCGAACGGCAACACAGUAAGAUCUUGCGCUUCCGGGGGGCGAGUGGCGGACGGGUGAGGUAGACAACGUAAUCUACAUUUUCGUGUGGGAUAACGUAGGGAAACUUACUCUAAGACCGCAGACGACCUACGGGUGUAAGCAGGGGAUCGUCUUACCUUUCGGGAUUGAAUUAGCCGAUGUCGGUCUAGAUAGUUGGCUGGGUAAAUGCCAACCACGUGGACGAUCCGUAGCUGGUCGGAGAGGACGGUCGGCCACCCGGGAAGUGAGACACGGUCCAGACUCCUACGGGAGGACGCAGUGGAGAAUAUUGGACAAUGGGCGCAAGCAUGAUCCAGCCAUAUCGCGCGGGUGAAGACGGCCUUCGGGUUGUAAAGACCUUUUGUUGGGAAAGAAAAGCAGCAGGUUAAUACGCCGCUGUUCUGACGGUACCCAAAGAAUAAGCACCGGCUAACUUCGUG